rnacentral:rRNA from 1 species
CAAUAGCGUAUAUUAAAGUUGUUGCAGUUAAAAAGCUCGUAGUUGGAUUUCUGGUGGGAGCGAUCGGUCUGGCGCUUAGCGCGAGUACUUGCAUCGUCUCCGGCCAUCCUUGGGGAGAGUCUGUCUGGCAUUAAGUUGUCGGGCAGAGGAUCCUCAUCGUUUACUGUGAAACAAUUAGAGUGUUCAAAGCAGGCUUAUGCCGUUGAAUAUAUUAGCAUGGAAUAAUAAGAUAGGACUUUGGUACUAUUUUGUUGGUUUGCGCACCAAAGUAAUGAUUAAUAGGGACAGUUGGGGGUAUUCGUAUUCCGUUGUCAGAGGUGAAAUUCUUGGAUUUACGGAAGACGAACUACUGCGAAAGCAUUUACCAAGGAUGUUUUCAUUAA